ACCAAGGAGUCUGACAUGCGUGCGAGUCGACGGGUUCUGAAACCUGGGAUGCGCAAGGAAGCUGACGAGCGGGAGGCCCUCACGGGCCGCACCGCUGGCCGACCCUGAUCUUCUGUGAAGGGUUCGAGUUGGAGCACGCCUGUCGGGACCCGAAAGAUGGUGAACUAUGCCUGAGCGGGGCGAAGCCAGAGGAAACUCUGGUGGAGGCUCGAAGCGAUACUGACGUGCAAAUCGUUCGUCUGACUUGGGUAUAGGGGCGAAAGACUAAUCGAACCAUCUAGUAGCUGGUUGUCACACCCUGGAGUUUCCCCUUCUAGCUCUAAAUCAAUAAAAUAAAUUGCCUAAAAGAAAUUGUUUAUUUAACCAGGAGCAAACCCUAAAUUAACAAUGUGCGUAAUAAUCGGAAUUGCCAGGGAGAAUUUUUCUUUUCGAAUUCUCCUUGAUUAAAAACGUUAACAGGACUUUCAACGGAAUAUGUAGAGCAGACGAAGUAAUAAUUUUAAUUUAAAAUAUCAGGAUUUGAAUUAAUAAUUCCUUCCUUCCCCUCCUUUGGUCAUGAACCGUUCCCGGUUCACUCUCCCAGUUUGCGAAUCGUUAUAUCCGCUGACCCCUUUUGUCGCCACGGUUUCGUUUUGUAUGACGAGCCAAGUCCUACUCUUAUUCCGGUUCAGUUUCUUGUUUCUUUCCCAAAAUGGCACCGUAUUUGUUUCCCUCACCUUUCCUUUUUACGUCACUUUUUCUCCGUAUUCUUUCCCCCCCUCUUGUCGAGCGUCUUCUCUCUUCUCCCUGCCGUGCGCCACUCCCUUUCUUGGGCCGGCCCAACCAGCACCCCCUCCUCCACCUCUAUAAAAGCCACUCCACCCCCUCCCCUGUGCCCCCAACCCUAGCCGCCGGCUGCCCUAGCCACAGCUGCCGUGCCGCCGCUAUGCCCUAGCCGCCGCUGCCAUGCCGCCGCUUUGCCCUAGCCGCCGGCUCCCCUAGCCACUGCUGCAUGCCGCCGGCUACCCUAGCCGCUGCUGCCCUAGCCGCUGGCUGCCCUAGCCGCUGCCUCGCAGCCGCUAGCCGCUGCUGCAGUGUCGUGUCGCUGCUGCGUUGCCACGCCAUGCCGUGCCGCUGCCGCUGCCCUACCCACGCUACCGCUACAGCCGCCGCCGUGCUGCUUGCUGCGUCGCUGCUGCCGUACCGCACGCAGCCGCUGCAUUGCUGUCGCUGCCGUGCCGCUGCCGUAUCGCACGCAGCCGCCGCUGCUGCCGUACCUCACGCUACCGUGUUGUCGCUGCUAUGCCACUGCCGCUGCCCUAGCUGUUACUGCACCGCUACCAUGUUGCCACUGCCAUGCCGGGUGCCACCGCCACCGCUUUGCCGUGCCGCUGCCCUAACCCUAGCUGCAUUGCCAAGUCGUUAGCCGUGCUGCCGACCCGUUACCGUGGCACUUGCCGCGCCAUUAGCCGCCUAAAACCCUAGCUACGUAGCAGCCGCCUAGCCGUGUUGGUUUACUGACCUCGCUACCGCCGCACCUAGCCAUAGCCGCAGCCGUGCCCUCACCGUGGUACGUAUCAUUCACUAGCCACUCGCUGCUUACGCUCGCGCAUAGUGUGGCAUCGUGUCAUAUCGGGUUGGUCGUACCGAGUCGUUCUAAAACCCUAGAGCCUUUCUGAGCCGCCGGUUCUGUUCGCCGGUUCGGUUGACCGUUUGCGUGGUCCCGUGCCACGGUAGGUUGACUCUUGAGUCGCUGACCCGUGAGGCUCGUUAACCGAGGUUUGUUUUCCGUUAACCUUGUCCGUUCGCGGGCUUUAAAGCAUAUCAAUUAAGUAAGGUUUUUCGGUUAAUAGUAAUUACAUAGUUCAUGUUCUAAAAUUCAUAACUAAUUCAUACGAACUCCAAAUUGGGCCAUUCAUCUUGCAAAAUUCAUCUAAAGUUGAGCUCUACAUGUUUGUUUACUUUUUAUGUACUGUUUAUUUGGUUUCUAUUAGAGUUUUUCCUUGUUUUGCGUUCCAACAUGUAGAUUCCGCUGUUUCGGAUGAUCGCGGUCGCGAGGAAAAGAGUUUGGAAGAUCAAUCGAAGACGCGAGGCAAGUCACACAUUCCCCUUGAGCAUUUUGAUCCCAAUUUAUAAAAUGUUUUACUGUUUACAAAUAAAUUGCAUGGUUUGUUAAUUACAUGGGAAUAGGGUUUACCAAUCUGCUUGCUUGAGCCAUAUUUACUUGAUGUCCUUUCUCUGUCAAACUUGGGUGAUAACUUGACUAGCUUGCAUCUCAUGUGGACCUCGCUAGAACUAUAUUAUGCUUAGCUAUGCUUAAAACCACUAGCUCACAAUAUGGGAUAAUCACAUUAUCUAUUUCUAGUAUCUUGAUGAGCUGCGGGCUCGAGACAUGCCGGCCACGUUUCGUUGGUCGUAAUUAACCAACUAAAAUAUGGCUUAAUGGUGGGCUGUGGGUGUAUGGUUUUGCUAGUCGCACCCAUGGGAAUUAAGGACCGGUUCUCGGGAAACCCUGGAAGACUAACAGUGCUUACCACAAGCAGGCAUGGGUAACUAUUGGACUUGUAGUGCAGCUUUUCCCUAGCUGACUCAUCCAGGCAAGGGUGGGCGUGAUGGAGUUAGAAGACCAAGGCUUAUACCCCAAUUGAGUUUUGCCUGUCGAGUGGAGCUGAAGCCUCGCUAGGAUCGUCCGUUUUUUUCCGCUGCUGUUUUCUUUUCGGUGUGAAGACUAAGUGCUUCUUCUGUAAGUAUUUACGCUUUAUUUACGUUUGGAUCUGUAUAUUAAUUUGUCGUUUUGUGCACCCUGUCUUGAUUCCUGGACAGGGAUUUAUACGCAAAAUUGUCUGGAAAUUUGGGAUAAAUUUCUGGGCGUGACACUGGUUCCCUCCGAAGUUUCCCUCAAGAUAGCUGGAGCCCAUUACGAGUUCUAUCGGGUAAAGCCAAUGAUUAGAGGCAUCAGGGGCGCAACGCCCUCGACCUAUUCUCAAACUUUAAAUAGGUAGGACGGCGCGGCUGCUCCGGUGAUCCGCGCCACGGAAUCGGGAGCUCCAAGUGGGCCAUUUUUGGGAAGCACAACUGGCGAUGCGGGAUGAACUGGAAGCCUGGUUACGGUGCCAAACUGCGUGCUAACCUAGAACCCACAAAGGGUGUUGGUCGAUUAAGAUAGCAGGACGGUGGUCAUGGAAGUCGAAAUCCGUUAAGGAGUGUAUAACAACUCACCUGCCGAAUCAACUAGCCUCGAAAAUGGAUGGCCCUGAGGCGCACGACCCACACCAGGCCAUCUGGGCGAGCGCCAUGCCCCGAUGAGUAGGAAGGCGCGGCGGCCGCCGCAAAACCCGGGGCGCGAGCCCGGGAGGAGCGGCCGUCGGUGUAGAUCUUAGU
rnacentral:ncRNA from 1 species